CUGUCCCUGUCCCUGUCCACAUUUCCUUGGUCCAAACAGGGCUUGUGGGAGGUAGUGGCAAAAGGUGUUGGUCUUUUUCUCACUGAUUUGGAGGCCUCCCCGUGUGUUUUUUCAGCCGCGUGUUCCUGGGUCUUGCCUGGAUGGACAGGGUUUUUUAGCGCGUGGGAGCAGCUUUGCUGACCCAUGCCUGUUGCUUCCAGCCUGAUUCCCGAGAAGGGAGCCUGCUUGCGAAGGAACUGGCACUCGGGCCUGCCUGAAGGGGGCGCUGUCCAGACAACACCCAGCCUCCCGUCGUGGCAGGCGCUGUCGGAGCCAUGGAUGAUUGUGACCAAUAGGGGUGGUCGCCAGAGUUGAUUGUCCAGCCAGGCCCAGGGGCUGAGAGGAGGCUGUGUGGAGAGGUGGUUAGGAGCCAGGGCUCGGUCAGCUGAGUUCGCAUGCCAGCUUCCUAGCUGUGGGACCUCAAGCAACUUGUAGCCCCUCUGAAGCUGUUUUCUCAACUGUGAAGUGGACGCACCCUACUUCAUUGAUUCUAAGAGGCACGCAUUUCCACCUUGUGACUUCUCUGAAACUGAGGUGCGUCUUUCAGUCAGUGGCGUCUCAUAGUCGCUGUCAGCCAGCUGGUAUUCGAGAUGGAGUCGUGGAAAACCCGUGGACACCUUCCGCUAGGACCAAGAUGGCGCCACCUGCCGCAUCUUAGAUUUGAUGAAAUGUGGUAAAUAACGAGAGGCAUGCAUGAGCGAAUGCUGGGGAGGCGCUUGGCACUACCCAGAGCUCCACAGAGGUGGUCGAUGAGGGCUGCCCUUUCCCACAUCCUUAGUAGGGGGUUCAAGAUGACCCAGACUGUGCCCCUGGGGAGCUUGGAGCCAUGCGGGAGGAUGAGCCAUGUGCUGGAGGAGAACAGGGUAGGAUGGUGUGGGGCUUUUGUAGACUGUCUAGAGCAGAGAAGGUCUGCAGUGGAGGUGGUGUCUGAGGUGAAUCUCGAAGGUGAAUAGGAGUUGAACGUUAGCAGGCAGAGGGUGGAUUGCAGGAGAGCAGCGGCCUGGGCAGGUGCCCAGCGUGGCCCAUCAGGGUGCUUCAUGCAUGGCUGUGUGCUUGCCAUCCUUCCUGCCUGCCUACCCCCUGCUGCUUCGCUUCGUGGGGGCGUUUGAGCUUGGGCCCACCUGCC
rnacentral:lncRNA from 1 species